UACGUAAGGACCGAGCGUUGUCCGGAUUCAUUGGGCGUAAAGGGUACGUAGGCGGUUAGAAAAGUUAGAAGUGAAAGGCUAUAGCUCAACUAUAGAAAGCUGUUAAAACUGUUUAACUUGAGAGAUGGAAGGGAGAGUGGAAUUCGUAGUGUAGCGGUGAAAUGCUCAGAUAUUAGGAGGAAUUCCGGUUGCGAAGGCGACUCACUGGGCAUUAUCUGACGCUGAGGUACGAAAGCGUGGGUAGCAAACAGG
rnacentral:rRNA from 1 species